rnacentral:rRNA from 1 species
CAUCGCCUGCAGCAAUACUUGUAGGUACAGCCUGCCCAAUGAUUAAUUUAAUGGCCGCAGUAUUAUGACUGUGCAAAGGUAGCAUAAUCAUUUGUCUCCUAAUUAGAGGCUGGCAUGAAUGGCUAAACGUGGAGUAGACUGUAUCACUAAUAAAUUUUAACUUAAUCUUUAAGUCAAAAAGCUUAAAUAAAAUAGCAGGACGAGAAGACCCCAUAGAUCUUUAUAUAGAUGACUUUUUAACGCUUAGACGGCACUCCUGGCAAGUACAGAAAUAUUUUGUUGGGGUGACACGAAGUAAUAAACGCUUUUCUAGAAACAAUAAUAGUAGGUUGUAUGAUCCGGCCUCCGAUUAAAAAAUUAAGUUACCUUGGGGAUAACAGCGUAAUCUGCCCUUAGAGUUCUUAUCAACCGGCAGGGUUGCGACCUCGAUGUUGGAUUAAGAAUCCCGCCAUGGGCAGCCCCAUGGGCGGGAGGUCUGUUCGACCUAUAAAAUCUUACAUGAUCU